UGUGGACUGAGUAAGGAAGAAGCAUCCAGGCUGAAGAAGUAGCAGCAAUUUUACUUUAACGGAAGAUAGCGGUGAGGGCUUGAACACUAAGGAAUUAAUGAGAGAUCAGCCCCUUUAGCGACUCAAAGCAUAUUAUAACUCCAGCUGGUCAAAAAGAGAGGAAAUAAAUAAUAUAACAGGAACAACUGCAAGAGCAAGUGCAGCAUCAGGUUGGUGCAUUUCUUUUGAUCAAAAGGUCAAAUUGCAACUGGUCUUUGAAGAGUGUGCUGGUGACAGUGUGCAACCUUUGCAGUAGCUCCUGGACUGGCCCUAGACUGCUGUCAAAUUAAACCAGCGCUGUAAAGAAGAGAGCAAGUACCCUAAAGUUGAAUGAAGGGGCAUCUUAAUUCGAAUCUUGGCUCUAAUGCUGACUGUAAGCAUGACCCCAGAUGAGUUAUUCACUCUCUCAGUCUCAGUCUCCUCAUCCACAAAGCAGGGAUCACAAUAAAUGAAUAGCACCUUUCACAGAACCCACCAUAUAUACUGAGUGUCCAGCAAAUACUGUGUUCAUCAUCUAACAUCAUAACACAUUGAGCAUCCAUCAGAGCAGAAAUAGUUCG
rnacentral:lncRNA from 1 species